AUUGAACGCUGGCGGCAGGCCUAACACAUGCAAGUCGAGCGGAUGAAGGGAGCUUGCUCCUGGAUUCAGCGGCGGACGGGUGAGUAAUGCCUAGGAAUCUGCCUGGUAGGGGGGGAUAACGUCCGGAAACGGGCGCUAAUACCGCAUACGUCCUGAGGGAGAAAGUGGGGGAUCUUCGGACCUCACGCUAUCAGAUGAACCUAGGUCGGAUUAGCUAGUUGGUGGGGUAAAGGCCUACCAAGGCGACGAUCCGUAACUGGUCUGAGAGGAUGAUCAGUCACACUGGAACUGAGACACGGUCCAGACUCCUACGGGAGGCAGCAGUGGGGAAUAUUGGACAAUGGGCGAAAGCCUGAUCCAGCCAUGCCGCGUGUGUGAAGAAGGUCUUCGGAUUGUAAAGCACUUUAAGUUGGGAGGAAGGGCAGUAAGUUAAUACCUUGCUGUUUUGACGUUACCAACAGAAUAAGCACCGGCUAACUUCGUG
rnacentral:rRNA from 1 species